CCUACGGGAGACAGCAGUGAGGAAUAUUGGUCAAUGGGCGUAAGCCUGAACCAGCCAAGUCGCGUGAGGGAUGAAGGUUCUAUGGAUCGUAAACCUCUUUUAUAAGGGAAUAAAGUGUGGGAUGUGUACUACUUUGUAUGUACCUUAUGAAUAAGGAUCGGCUAACUCCGUGCCAGCAGCCGCGGUAAUACGGAGGAUCCGAGCGUUAUCCGGAUUUAUUGGGUUUAAAGGGUGCGUAGGCGGCCUGUUAAGUCAGUGGUGAAAGUUUGUGGCUCAACCAUAGAAUUGCAGUUGAAACUGGGGGGCUUGAGUAUGUUAGAGGUAGGCGGAAUGCGUGGUGUAGCGGUGAAAUGCUUAGAUAUCACGAAGAACCCCGAUUGCGAAGGCAGCCUGCUGAGCUGUGACUGACGCUGAUGCACGAAAGUGUGGGGAUCAAACAGGAUUAGAUACCCCGGUAGUC
rnacentral:rRNA from 1 species